GCAGAUAUAAUAAUUCAGUGGUAGAGCACAUGCUUUUUAUGUAGAAGGUUCCAGGUUCAAUUUCUGGCAUCUCCA